rnacentral:rRNA from 1 species
GACGAACGCUGGCGGCGUGCUUAACACAUGCAAGUCGAACGAAGUGGCGAACGGGUGAGUAACGCGUAAUCAACCUGCCCUUCAGAGGGGGACAACAGUUGGAAACGACUGCUAAUACCGCAUACUGAAGGAGGGGAUUGCGUCUGAUUAGCUUGUUGGUGGGGUAACGGCUCACCAAGGCGACGAUCCCUAGCUGGUCGGAGAGGAAGACCAGCCACACUGGAACUGAGAUACGGCCCAGACUCCUACGGGAGGCAGCAGUGGGGGAUAUUGCACAAUGGGCGAAAGCCUGAGGCAGCGACGCCGCGUGGGGGAUGAAGGCUUUCGGGUUGUAAACCUCUUUCGCUAUCGAACGGGUAGGUGGAGAAGAAGCGCCGGCUAACUACGUGCCAGCAGCCGCGGUAAUUC